GCUAGGAUAGCUCAGUUGGUACAGCGUGAGACUCUUAAUCUCAGGGUUGUGGGUCUAAGCUCUACGUGGGGCA